rnacentral:lncRNA from 1 species
UCUAUCCUUUAGUAAAAUCUUCAAAAUUAUUAGGUCCCUAAAAUGAUUAAGUUAUAGUGAUAACUAAGUCAUAGCCUCCCAUUAAGUGAGUGAUAAUGAGUCCAUUAGUUUAAUAAUCAUUGGAGGCCCAAAGGCCUAGUGCUUAUUGACUAAUGGAAUUAUCAUUCAUAGUAUGAUAAUUUGGUUUGAGUCUUUCUGAUGGUGGUCAGGUUGGCUGGCCAAAGUCGGGCCUGAUCAUUUAUUGAUCCGAUUCACCAAAUCAAGUCAUGUUAAUGGUUGGACCUAACCAAAUCUUUUCAGUGGAGGCCAAAGCCUACUGAUUAGGUUCUGGGGCAAAAUCAAUUACUAGAAGUUGUUUAGAGAAACAACUG